AUUCUAGCAAAAAAUGAAUUUCAGCGAAAAAUUCAAACAAAUUCAACAAAUCAAUUCCACCAACAAAUUUAGGAAAUUACAACAAAUUCAAACUCUACAACAAAUUCGAUUCCAGCAAAUUCAACAAUUUACUGAAAAUUCAAAACAAAUUCGACAAUAAAUUCAACAACAAAUUCCAUCAAAACAAAUUCAAGCUCAGGAGGAGUGAGGAGGCGAAAUCAGGGUUUCGGGCUCAAAGAGGUGGCGAUUUGGGAUUUGGAUUUCGGCUCAGAAGGCGGCGAUUUGAGGGAACAACGAGGGGUUGUCGUUGUUACCUGAGAAAUAGAGAGAGCGAGGGAUGAAGGGUGACGCAGAGAGAGGCGGUCGGUGGCGGCGUUCCUCGUCGGGGAAGAGAGGCGGCGGCGCGUAGUGCAUGUAGCUCCUCACCUUGAAAAAGGAGGCGACGAUUUGAGGGAGGCAACGAUUUGGGGUGUUGGGUCAGAGGGAGGCGGCGAUUUGAGGGACGUUUGCUUUGAGGGAGGCGGCACCUUAAGGUGAAGAAGAAGGAGUAAGGCGACGAGAUCAAAGGUUGAGCUUUUAGACGAAGAAGAAGAAGGCUGAGGCGCCGCUCCAGAUUUAGAAAAUAGGGUUUGAACGAGUGAAUAUUAGAAGUAAUCUUAGGGUUAUUUUAUUGCUAAUUAUGUUUGAUUAAGUUUAAGUGGAGAGAAUUUUUAAUUAGUGAGGUGGGUCCUCUAAUGGCAAAUAAAGUAAAUACAUAAAGUUAUAAAGGGUAUAAUUGUAUAAAAAGUGAAACUUGACUCUUUUUUGUGGACAAAAAAAAGAGAGAAUCAAGACUCUUUUUCGUGGAUGGAGGGGGUAUUAGGUUGUGGGUUGUGUAGAUGGAUGCGAGAGAAAUGAAUAUUUUAUUAAAAAGUUGAGUAAAGUUGGGUUGGAUGAGUGUCACGACCGUGGGUAGUCUAAAACCAGCCAACAAUUGUUGCAUCCUCUUCAUUCUUCACUUAAGGACUUCAAGAGUAGUAGAGAGCCUCUAAUUCAUUUCUGCCAAAUUCUCAAGGUAAGAUUGGCUUUAAUGCUUCCACAUUCUUCCAUAUUUCACCUGCAUUAAUGCAAGAACAACAAUUGAUAUGUUUCAGUUAUUCCCCAUUUAAGAUCAUUCAACUACAGCAGAUACUACAACAACCAACACCAAGCAAUUUCAGGGUAAGCUUUGCCUUGAACUUUACCACCUCCUGCCACAAUUUCUCCUUCAUUCAUUAAGGCAGUUACUAACAAUUAUUCUGUUUCUAGUUCUCAAUCAGCAAUAUCACAGCAACAGCCAAUCAACACAUUCUCAAGGUAUUUAUGCUACCUCAGUUAUUCAAACCAGUUUGCAUUCAUACCAACAAGGCUGAUCAUAUUCAUAAAUGAUAGAGGGCCGUAUAUGUGCAUAAUGAAUUUAGCAGUUACAUGCUUUAUAUCACAUAACACCAGUUACAUUUUCCUUAUGUAAGUAUUAGUGCGUAUGAGAACUCGAGCAGGGCAUAACUCUGAAGCAAAGCAUAGAACAGACAACAUUUUGUUUAUAUCUCACUUUAGGAAUCAUAGAGGGAAGUCACAUGUGUCUCGAUUAUUUGGUAUAUGAACUCAGAAAAUCACAGCCACAUCAAAACCACUAAAGAUCUUGUCUUGCUUGAGCUUAGGGACGCUUCUCGCUAUAGCCGGACGGUGGUGGUGAUCUCUGUCAGGACCAAGGAGAGCCCGGAUCAGAGAAGGGAGGCCGUACCAACGAGAGGACGAACACCGGAGAGGUAGCGGCGCGGCAGCGCAGCGGGUGUACCAGAGACGGCGGAGACGAACUGAGAUGACGGAACCUGGGUUCGAUUCUCUACCCACCUUGGUGUGUGCGUUAGGGUUUUUUGUAAAAGGCUCGGGGAAAAGAGCGAGGCGACGCCGACCUCGCUGAUUCACGGACGACGCGGACUCGCCGGCCUCCACCGGUGACGACGAUGAUACGGGCAGGGGAAGAGCUAGGGCACGUUUUGAAGAACGGGAGAGAUGCAAGACUCGAUUUUUCGGAAGGGAAAACGAUCUGAGGAAUUGAAAAAGGAACGAGACGAGGAGAGGAAACACGGCUGGUCGUCAACCUCGCCGGAACCGUUCGCGGCGGUAGCGGGAGAGAGAGUAGGACUGUGGGUGUGUUCUGAUUUGAGCGAG
rnacentral:lncRNA from 1 species